UGAGAAACGGCUACCACAUCCA
rnacentral:ncRNA from 3 species